rnacentral:pre_miRNA from 1 species
GCAUUUACAACGUGUCUUUAGUUCAUGUGACACUAAGGCACGCGGUGAAUGCUGA